GUCCAAACUGCCCCAAUAACACAGAAAGAUGGGGGUGGGGGCGAGUAGAGCAUGAGAUUCUUAAUCUCAGGGUCGUGCGUUCAAGCCCCACGUUGGGCA